UACGGGGGGGGCAAGCGUUGUUCGGAAUUACUGGGCGUAAAGGGCUCGUAGGUGGCCAACUAAGUCAGUGGUGAAAGCUCGAUGCUCAACUUCGAGCUGUCGGUGGAAACUGUCUGGCUAGAGUCCGGAAGAGGAGAAUGGAAUUCCUGGUGUAGCGGUGAAAUGCGCAGAUAUCAGGAAGAACACCCGUGGCGAAGGCGGUUCUCUGGGACGGUACUGACGCUGAGACGCGAAAGCGUGGGGAGCGAACAGG
rnacentral:rRNA from 1 species